rnacentral:rRNA from 1 species
GGCCUAACACAUGCAAGUCGAACGGGUCCUUCGGGGGUAGUGGCGGACGGGUGAGUAACGCGUGGGAACGUGCCCCUUGGUACGGAAUAGCCCCGGGAAACUGGGAGUAAUACCGUAUGUGGUCGAGAGACGAAAGAUUUAUCGCCAAGGGAUCGGCCCGCGUUGGAUUAGGUAGUUGGUGGGGUAAUGGCCUACCAAGCCGACGAUCCAUAGCUGGUUUGAGAGGAUGAUCAGCCACACUGGGACUGAGACACGGCCCAGACUCCUACGGGAGGCAGCAGUGGGGAAUCUUAGACAAUGGGGGAAACCCUGAUCUAGCCAUGCCGCGUGAUCGAUGAAGGCCUUAGGGUUGUAAAGAUCUUUCAGGUGGGAAGAUAAUGACUGUACCACCAGA